AACGAACGCUGGCGGCAUGCCUAACACAUGCAAGUCGAACGAGACCUUCGGGUCUAGUGGCGCACGGGUGCGUAACGCGUGGGAACCUGCCCUUAGGUUCGGAAUAACUCCCCGAAAGGGGUGCUAAUACCGGAUAAUGUCUUCGGACCAAAGAUUUAUCGCCUUUGGAUGGGCCCGCGUUGGAUUAGUUAGUUGGUAGGGUAAAAGCCUACCAAGGCGACGAUCCAUAGCUGGUCUGAGAGGAUGAUCAGCCACACUGGGACUGAGACACGGCCCAGACUCCUACGGGAGGCAGCAGUGGGGAAUAUUGGACAAUGGGCGAAAGCCUGAUCCAGCAAGGCCGCGUGAGUGAUGAAGGCCUUAGGGUUGUAAAGCUCUUUUACCCGGGAUGAUAAUGACAGUACCGGGAGAAUAAGCUCCGGCUAACUCCGU
rnacentral:rRNA from 1 species